CAGCCGCCGCGGGAAUACGUAGGUGGCAAGCGUUGUCCGGAAUUAUUGGGCGUAAAGGGCUCGCAGGCGGUUUCUUAAGCCUGAUGUGAAAGCCCCCGACUCAACCGGGGAGGGUCAUUGGAAACUGGGAAACUUGAGUGCAGAAGAGGAGAGUGGAAUUCCACGUGUAGCGGUGAAAUGCGUAGAGAUGUGGAGGAACACCAGUGGCGAAGGCGACUCUCUGGUCUGCAACUGACGCUGAGGAGCGAAAGCGUGGGGAGCGAACAGGAUUAGAUACCCCGGUAGUCCCUGUCUCUUAUAC
rnacentral:rRNA from 1 species